AAUCAACGCUGGCGGCGUGCCUCAGACAUGCAAGUCGAACGCGAAAGUCCCCCUCGGGGACGAAGUAGAGUGGCGCACGGGUGAGUAACACGUAGGUAAUCUACCUUCGGGUGGGGAAGUAACAAUACGGAACGGUUAGCUAAUACCGCAUAAUGCAGCGGCACCUAAUGGUGACAGUUGUUAAAGACGGGGGAGUCGCAAGAUCUCGCGCCUGAAGAGGAGCCUGCGGCGGAUUAGCUAGUUGGUAGGGUAAUGGCCUACCAAGGCGACGAUCCGUAGCCGGCCUGAGAGGGCGGUCGGCCACACUGACACUGACAUACGGGUC
rnacentral:rRNA from 1 species